CAAUCUAAAUUAUGGACCAGGCGCCUUCAAAAUUUCAGAUCAAAUUUCACCGCCAAAACAGAACCAUCGCGAUCAGUCCUCUCUGGAGAAAACCCAGAAGGCACGCAGCACUCGCAGAUGGAGAAGGCCUGAUCUUGGUCGAUCGAUGGUCGGAUGGGUAGUCAGGUGUACUUCCUCACACACCUUCACUCGGACCUCACGAGAGGAUCGACCUCGGCGUGGUCCAGGGUCCACUCUUCUGCUCCCGACUAACCGCCAAACUCUUCCCGAUUUCGAUCUAUCGUUGCUUCGCGUCCUCGACGAUGGAUCCUGUUACUCCGUUUCCUUGGUCUCUCCUUAGUCUGGAUCCGUAACGGUUGUGCAAGGUUGUAAACAUAAUUGCUUCACAUCCGGAGCAUGACAUCAUCAUUGGGAUUGACUUUUUGGGGGAAGGAAGAUCUAUUAAUCCAAAUUUCUCUCUUGAUGAAAACAAAGAAGCCUUACCUCUGCUGGAACCCAUGGUUAUUCGCUUUAUGUAUUCUGCUUGAACCCAUGAUUAUUUGCUUUAUAUGUCCAGCCAUCGCAGCUAUCAGAUGACAUGCCAAUACAUUUGUGAAUAUUUCGUCCCGGUUUUCUGGACUGUGGCAUGUCAUCUAUUAGGAUUUUCUCCUGCUUGGUGCAAUGGUACUACAAGGUAAGAAUUUCAGCCAAAAAGGAUAUAAAAAUGUCAAAAGCUUUGCCUACUCUAUUCUGGAUGUUAAGUAACUAAACACAAUCACAAAUAACUUUUUUUUAAAAAUUUUUUAUUUCCUAGUUUCUAAAGUAUCUUGAUUAAUUUUCAGCAAGAUUCAUACGUUGGGGAUGCUCUUUGUACCAUGUCAUAUUAUUUGACUACGUAAGUUUUCUUGUGCUAUCGGAUUCAGUCGAAAACUAAACACUCUUAUGAAAUCUCAUCCAUACAUCUUUCUUUGAUGGUAAAAAUCACAUUUUCCUAUUUUUAUUUUCCGGAAAACGAAAGUCUUUACUUUUUGUUUUCAUUUAUGUUUUCAACUGAUUUUAGCUACUUUUCUUUUUUCACAUUUUCUAAAAUGGACAACCAUAUGUUUUCGGGAUUGUUGUUUGUUUUUUGGAAAAUGAAAUUAAAAGCCACAUCGAAAAUAAGUCUACCAAACAGAUAUUUAAAUAGAUUUCUUCUUGGCUGACUUUCUUCUGAUGAAUUCGAAAGUUCAUUGCUUAUAAUUGUAUCAACCAUGAAGUGAUAGAACUACCAAGUUGGACAAACCCUUAUUUCAAGCAGUCUGAUUUAACUCGUGGUCGUGGUGCAUUUUUUGAUUAACAUUGAGACGGCCUUACUAAAUUUAGGUACUAUUUGCAUUAUAAUCAUUUAGGUGGAGGGAAUAUAUUACAACUUCAUAUCUACUGAAGCGCACAUCUUUUUCCCAUUUCAUGAUAUGAUCUUAAGAAGUCUUCUGUCAAGCAAUAAUGGACAUUGACUAGAAAAUGAACAUUUUUUAGAAUAUAUAAAAUAAUAAUGGAUUGUUACAUUUGAGCCGAACACACGCACAGAAUAAGGCAAUAAGGCUUUAUAUCAAGUCAUAUUAUUUAGAGGUAGCACAUUUAGGUAUGAUAUUUGAUGGGCCUGACUUGUUUGUUUUCCGAAAUCUUAUACGGCCGGAGAAGAUGAAUACACGUCCGCUUAAAUAUGUGGUUUCUUAGGCUGUUUUUAAUUUUGAGGCCUUGCUGUAAAAUUUUUUUAAAUUUUUUUUUAAAAAAAUCUAGCCUUACCCUACAUUUAAUUUGUCUAAUACCGAGUAAUUUUGACGUUCUUCCAUUCAUAAGUUGGUCAGUCGUCUAUCUAUGCCACAAAUCUAAACAUCAUAACUAACAAGAAAAUAAAGUCAUUUUUGAUAUUCCAGGCCAGACUCAAUUUCACCUUUCAUUUUGAUAAAAAUCUAUUGGUCGUAAUGGAGCAUGCCUUUUCUUUUCUGUAGCUAGGUUUUUACGUGGGGCGUAGGGAAUUGGAACUAUUGACCUCAGGGUCGUUGAGGUAGGCGUGUUCAACAAGUUGGGAAAGUAGUGAACUCUAAUGGACUAUCACUUAUUGGGGGAGAGCUAUAAUUGACUGAUGUUGGACAUUUCAACAUUAGUAGGGUCAAUAAAAUGGAAUGACAUUUACCAAGAAUUCAAAAUGGAAGAACACGGUUAGAGAUUGUGAGAGUUCUACUCUCUCGUGAACAAAGAAUUCACAAUUAGAAAUACUCUACACG